UCCGGAAUGGUGUAGUGGCUAGCAUUUCUGCCUCUCAACAGAUUGUCUCAUCGAUCGAGUGCGCAGGAGACCGGGGUUCAAUUCCCCGUUCCGGAA
rnacentral:tRNA from 1 species